GGAACAGGUGUCCACAGAGGUCUUCAAAUCCGAGAGGCCUGCUACCAGGGUG
rnacentral:tRNA from 11 species